rnacentral:lncRNA from 1 species
UGCACACCUGCAAUUCUGGUCCUCAUAACCACACAGUCAGCAGGGAAGGCUGAUGCCUUCCAGUAGGAAGACAAGAUGUAUGAACAUUGAAGACUCCAGCAUUCAGGCAACAAACUCCUUCCACCCAACUGGAUGCUAUUCUAGGUGUGUCAAGUCCCACAUAUAUUGUGCCAUUUAUGCAUCUUAAUUUGAUUGUGAGUCAUUCUGUGUCUGUUCUGUGAAGCUACUGUUAACAUCAAGGAAUUUCCCACUGCAACAUGCUCAAAGGUUCAUUUAGGGGGUGAGCAUCAUUGAAAGAGUAGGAGGUUUUCCCCUGUAUCAAUUCAUUUUGCCCUCUGACCCACUGAGUAUUAAAAUCUAGCCAGGGUAGUCAACUUCUUUCCAAAGAUAGUCUAUCUCUUUUGUCAAAUAAACUCCUCAAUGGGAAGAAUUUUUCUGUGCUUUACUGUUUC